UAGCGCCCGGACGCGAGAUCCGAUCCGGUAUCGACCGAAUAGACGAUGUUGUGCCGCGAGCCGGUCAGGCUUUCGUUGACGCGCGGAAACUCGAUCGCCUUGUCGUCCAGCAACUGCUCCUGCGCCUUGGUUGCUCCGGGUGNUCAGCGAGGCCUUGUCGAAAGUGGUUGCCGAAGGUCCGCCGCGCCACAGUUCGUUGUACCA
rnacentral:misc_RNA from 1 species